UAUUUUUAUAACGAGUCAUAUAAUAAUUAGGGUAAAAAUAAUCUGUAGAAGAGGACGAAGUGAAAGCGGCCAUGAAAUAGACUGUUGUGCACAAGAGUGAGCUUUCAUCUUUCAAAAAAAUCAACUCAAGCAAAGAAUACCUACCGAAAUAAAUAUUCUGAGGCACUGAAGAAUGAAAUGACAUUGAGGAACUAGCUUGCUUGACUUCGGUGGAGGUAGUGUACCAAUAAAAUGCAACGAGUGUACCAAUGACUUCAGAUUUCCCUCAGCUCCAGCCAGUCUCCCGCAUAUCAGGUUCCAGGUUUAGCUAUUCCUUCAAGCUCAUGUUGGAUUCUUUCGGUCAUGACAUGAUGUUCUAUACUUUUGGACACAUAGCAUUUUAUUCUUUUAUUUUGGUGUAUUUGAUAUUCUUAGACUUAUUAUUGGAGAUUAGAUGUCCUUGAUGUGAUGACUUUCAGGUUUUGGGAAAUGAAAUUUAGUAACAUUUGAGUGUCCUUGAUGUGAUGACUUUCAGGUUUUGGGAAAUGAAAUUUAGUAACAUUUGAGUUUCCGUAGUAUGCUUGUAUUUUGUAAGUUAGGUUAAAUUGGUUGGUUCACCCACUUAGGAGGUUAAGUGUGGGUGCCACUCACGACUCGUUUUGGGCGUCACAUGUUGCAUUGUUGAACUCAUCCUGAUAUAUUAUUUUCUGAUUUGAUGAA